UCAAGGGUGGCUCUUGUCGAUGUGUGCAGACGGUCCCAGGUUUGAGCCCAGGUAGGGGGAAGAAAGCAAAACUGUUACACAGGCAGGAUAAUCUCCUCUUUGUAAUUAUGAAAGUCUGGGCAGCGAGCUCAUUUGUCAUCGAUCGCUAGACCAGAAAUAGUCUGAAGUUUUUAUUUCUUCCUUACUUUUUCAUUACGCAGACAUAAGCGCACAGUUAACACCAUCGUGGUGCGGAUGUUUACCUUCUAAACAUGUUGUUUGUUUCCAGUUUUGUCCGACGAACAGAUGGUGGUAGUAGUAAAAAUAAAAAGGGAUACAUUUUUAAUGGAUUUCUAAGCAUCACUCCAGUCAAAACAGACGCUGCGAAUAUUCGAUUCCAUUCAUAUUCUAUGGGCUCACGCUAAUGUUCCAGUUUAGCCAAUGUUCUUCAGCCGUUUUUCCGCCAUAGGUCAAUUUCGACUCGUUUGUCCAGUCUAGCGAAUUUACGAAAGCACCCGAAUGUCCAUUGAGAAAGCACAAUGACUAUACCAUUUAGCUAAGCUAAGAAUGACGAGAAUAAUCAAGUCAAUAAAUGUUGGGUAGUUACGUAGAUAGCCUAUAGUUAUUAGGCUGGCAAUUUUGAUGUAUAACUACUAACGUUAGGUAGCUAGCUAACAUACUGGUACAUACUGCUGUAAUGAUAUGCUAUGUGGUUCGUAAGGACAGCGUACCUAACAAAUUGUCAGCCAACAUAACGUGUAAGGUAACUUAUUUGAAAAGUCAUUACUUAAUUACAUUGAGUAUCAAGCUACCCCUUGGUCGUUAGGGCAAGGAGAGGUUUUUCACACCUAGCACGGCUAUUAGACUAUUCUUUAAGUAAAGGUUGAAUAGCCUAUUGUUCAGAUAUUAGACACCCCUCCCCAACUUGCAACAAAUUGUUGUUCCCAUCUCAUUCUUUUCCCUCUUCCACGCAUCAUAAUUCUGCUCCUGAGUGGCUCGCUUGUGGACGUGCUGGCAGAAUAUGGCAGGAUCUUCGUUUGGGCGUCAAGAAUUCUGCAUACAGUAGCACGUUUGUAUGAGGGUGUGGUUAUUCACAGGCAACUUGUUACAUGAUAUGGAGGUACAUUUGUGUCUUUUUGUCAAGAGCAAAUUAGGAAUAAAAAAAAUAAUUGUUCUGAAAGCAACUUUUUUCCAACACAAUGGAAGUCAAAGCGGACACCUAAGAAGAUGGCAUCUCAGAGAGCGAGCUGAUCACGGGGUCGAAAAUGUAGAUAUUGCCAGAUGUUCUCUGUCCGAGGAACAGUCUGUGGAAGCUUUAUUGCUGGCAAAAGUGUCCAUAACCAGAGGUUAUAUCACCUGUUUUGGUGAAGCCCUCUCGCAUCUGAACUGGCUGACAGAGGUCACAGCAUGAUCAUAGGUGAGAUGUCACUUGGUCGGGUCAACAUGAAGUAUUAUGAAAGAUAUGCUUUACAUUAAAAUACAGACAGAGAUGUAGUAGAGUGACUGACCGUGUUAGAAUAAAUAAACAAGGUUUAAUCAUGCUCUCUCUCUAUCCAUCUGUCACUCGUCUGCUGUUAUGUUUUGACGUGAGAGAGGAAGCCAGUCCCGUCAUCGCCACCUCACCUGCUCUUAAGAUAACCUUCGGGCCGACUGGGGGCCCAAGGCUGGUUAGGAGACACCGCAAUUGUGAUGAACUGAGAGAAUAUUAGGGUAGCACUGCAUUUAUUAUUUGCUGUCUGCCGCUGUUCUUACCUCUUUUUUCCCUUUCUGUCUUCUACACCUCUCUCCCCACCUCGUCUUUCUUCCUCGUUUUAUAAUGCACACCAUGUGCAUUGAAGUACAGAU